CCUACGGGGGGCUGCAGUGGGGAAUCUUGCGCAAUGGACGAAAGUCUGACGCAGCGACGCCGCGUGGGUGAUGAAGGCCUUCGGGUUGUAAAGCCCUGUGGGGAGAGAAGAAUAAGUGCGGGCUAAUACCCCGCAUGAUGACGGUAUCUCCUUAGCAAGCAACGGCUAACUCUGUGCCAGCAGCCGCGGUAAGACAGAGGGUGCAAACGGUGGUGGGAAUUACUGGGCGUAAAGCUGAUAUAGGCGGUGUGAAAGCCCCGGGCUCAAACCGGGAAGUGCACUGGAUACUGUUAGGAUAGAGUACUGGAGAGGUUGGUGGAAUUCUCGGUGUAGAGGUGAAAUUCGUAGAUAUCGAGAGGAACACCGGUGGCGAAGGCGGCCAACUGGACAGAUACUGACGCUGAGACACGAAAGCGUGGGGAGCAAACAGGAUUAGAUACCCCAGUAGUC
rnacentral:rRNA from 1 species